UGGGGUGAAGUCGUAACAAGGUAACCGUAGGGGAACCUGCGGUUGGAUCACCUCCUUACCUUAAAGAA
rnacentral:rRNA from 2 species